UAAAUGACAAGUUGACCCUGGUUGUCCUGGGAGCCCUGGGUUCUGUGGAGUACAUGUGGCCUUGGGUACUCUGCCUGGUCCCUGGCCUCUUUUAUUCUGGAGCUGCUGCCCAUCUCUGCUUCCCAGCUGCCACAACAAACCUCUCUACUCUCUCGUGCUCUUCUGCCAAAAUGCUCCUGCCCAACAGUCAGCUGACCUUGGACUGAAUCCCCCCAACCCACGAGAGUGAAGUCUAAGCAUCCUUUCUUCUGGAGAAACAACAAGCUUUACAGAUCAAGCUACUACGAGUGUGUUGCUUCAUUCUUCAUUUCCAUCAGCAGAUAGGGAAGACUUCCUGGAAAAUUAUCACUGGUCGUUGGCAGUUGGAAGAACACACGGGCGGCAGCCUCAUUUUGACAAUAAGUACCACGGAAUAUUGCAUGGAGACUCAUGGGACCAGGACAGAAACAUGAAUGUCUUCAAGAGGUGUGAAAAAAAAAACCCAAAACGCAGUGACUGCUGCUGCUGAGUGCCAUCCGCGAAAGACAGGCU